rnacentral:misc_RNA from 1 species
CCGAGUCGUCGACACGAGUUGUUGCUGGCCCUCAAACGGGGGCAUGUGCACGCUCUGUUCACACAUCCACUCACACCUGUGCACCCUCUGUAGUUCUAUGGUCUGGGGGACGUGUCGUCCUCCUGCCGUGGUUCUGCGUCUUUACACAUACACCGUAGCGAAGUCUUAUGGAAUGUUUGCCGCGUUUAACGCAAUACAAUA